CUGAAAGGGAACUUGAUGUCAUCUGCUGUGUUGUUAGGUCCUGUACCACAGCUUGGUGUUCUGCUGCAGGAAAGGUUGAGGCUUUCUGCUGAUUCUGCAAGUAGGAAAAUCAAGCAGCACAGAAUACUUGUUAAAGGGGAAUUCAUCAUCGAUUCAUCUCGUUUGGGAGUUUGUUCUGUUCAUGUAAAUAAAAGGGUUGGUGGAACAAUGAACAUCUUAAUCACUGAAAAAGACAGUUUCUGGGAAGAGAGGAAAAGUCAACCUUUUGCUGCAAGUGGGGCUUCUUCUUCAAAAGAUGAUAAAUUAUGUGAGGACCACAUCUUCUUGGCCAUGUCAGCUAAAGAGGAGCACUUGAAUGAGGUGUUGACUCUGGUAAGCUACG
rnacentral:lncRNA from 1 species